UGUUUUUGUUGUGAAACUUCGAAAUAUUUUCAUAUUUGAAUUUUGAAAGUGAUUUUUGUUCUUUUUUCUGUAUAAUUCUUCAACAAUUUCAGCACCUCAGUCCUAUUCUGGUGUCUUUGAAGGCUAGAAAACUAAUUGUCCACGCUUCACAGCUUAAUAACAGUCCAAAAAUGUUGUUUUCAAGGAAGGAACUCACGCGUUGGUUAGGAGUGUCUAUUUUCGAAAUAUGGCUCUCUGUACUUUGUUUCCUUGUUUUUUCCAUAUUUCUCGCGUUAAAGCUAGAAGGGGACGUAACGUGGUCAUGGUGGAGUGUAUUUAUUCCUUUAUUCGCAUUUGAUGGCUGUACGGGCUAUUUUGUGGCAAUAGUGUGUAUACGUUUAAUAUUGGAAAAUGAGAAGCGCAAGGCAGCCCUGAGGACAUUAUGGAAUGGAUCAAAUUUGGGUCUGUUGUUUGUGUACAAAGUGCUGCUGUGUCAAAGACUAGAGUUGCAGAAUAUGAUGACUUAUUCUGUGAUACAUACUCCUGUGUUUAUUUUUUUGCUUAUGUUAACAAUCCGUGGUUGUCAUGUUGGCACGUGAUGAUGCAAUAUUCGAGCUUGCUAGAGGAACUUCAACUAGUUGCAAAACUUGGGAAGUGAUGAAAAGCCUCACAAGAUUGCUAAAAGUUGAUAAACUUGCUUGUUGGACAUUUCCCCCCACCUCCACACAAGUUUCUCCCCCCCCCCCAAGGCUUCUUCCUGCCCCCCCCCCCCCCCCAAGGCUUCUUCCUGCCCUACCACAGAAGAAUGACCAAAUUCAGUUGAUGAUCAUGGACAUUUCACCAGCUACUGUUUGUUCAAGCAGACUUUGAACAACAAGUUUUAAACUAUGAUUCUGAAGCUUUAGUAGUGAUGUGUAAUAUAAGAAUUUAAUUAAUAAAAAAACAUUGAUACAUUAAUAAAAACCCUGUUAUUGCUAUUCAAGUGUUGCAUAUAUAUAUAUAUCACCUUGUCUCCACCCAUGAUGCACUGUAGAUGAUCACACACGGCACACAGGCUUGGGCACACCUCUAAAAUAACACACCUAUCAAGGGUCUAUCAACCACUAGUUUACUUAACCCUUCAAGUGGCAAUGCACCCUGAUUAUUUUUUACUUGUCAAGGGGAGAGUGCUGCCAUUUAAUGGGUUAAGGGUGGGUGGUACCUUGGGGAAAUAAUCACAUGUAACCUUGGUAUGGAGCAGUGGUUUGCCUAAAUGAUUCACAAAACUUUUGAGCUAGCUGUGG